rnacentral:rRNA from 1 species
GAUGAACGCUGGCGGCGUGCCUAAUACAUGCAAGUCGAGCGAACAGACGAGGAGCUUUCUCCUCUGACGUUAGCGGCGGACGGGUGAGUAACACGUGGAUAACCUACCUAUAAGACUGGGAUAAAUUCGGGAAACCGGAGCUAAUACCGGAUAAUAUAUUGAACCGCAUGGUUCAAUAGUGAAAGACGGUUUUGCUUUCGCUUAUAGAUGGAUCCGCGCCGCAUUAGCUAGUUGGUAAGGUAACGGCUUACCAAGGCAACGAUGCGUAGCCGAUCUGAGAGGGUGAUCGGCCACACUGGAACUGAGACACGGUCCAGACUCCUACGGGAGGCAGCAGUAGGGAAUAUUGCGCAAUGGGCGAAAGCCUGACGGAGCCAUGCCGCGUGAGUGAUGAAGGUCUUCGGAUUGUAAAACUCUGUUAUUAGGGAAGAAGAAAUGUGUAAGUAAAUAUGUACGUAUUGACGUUACCUAAAGAGAAAGCAACGGCUAACUCCGUG